AAAAUAUCCAGUGCUAUUGUGCUCGUCUCCAUAAUCCUUUGUUACCAAUCAACAAAGUCUUUGAAACAUCCUGCUGAAUGGGAAUUUCACUACCGCCAAGGCACUUCAGGCCCAGCCUGGUGGACUUUCUACCCAGCGAAGGAUACCCCCUCUAAACUUCCCCUCUCCCUUCCGUGGGGGUGUCCCAGACCGCCUGAAAGAGCGCAACUCUUGUCUUCUGUGAAGAAGGGUGCUCCCCGCAGCAGCCUCUAGCGUCUAGCGAGGAGGGAAUUUUAAAAAGAUACCUAUUCAUUACAACAAGGAUGGCACCCCCCACCCACCUUCAGAGUCCGCCCCCUGUAUUCCAGUACCUAUCUACACUUGCGCUGAGGCCCGGCAAAAUGAAUGGAUGUUAUAAAUCAGCAGCCAGAGGAGACAGCAAAAAGUUCCAUUUGGUCCAAGAGAUGCUGAGCUCCAGUAAAACCUCAGAAAACUAACUCAAGGAGACAGAGGGAGUGAGAAGG